rnacentral:rRNA from 1 species
GCUCAGAAACUCAAUGAAUUGACGGGGCCGCACAAGCGGUGGAGUAUGUGGUUUAAUUCGAUGCAACGCGAAGAACCUUACCUGGUCUUGACAUCCCGGAGACCCUUAGGAAACGUAGGGGGUGCUUCCAUCUGGAAGAAUCUGGAGACAGGUGCUGCAUGGCUGUCGUCAGCUCGUGUCGUGAGAUGUUGGGUUAAGUCCCGCAACGAGCGCAACCCUUGCCUUUAGUUGCCAGCAGUUCGGCUGGGCACUCUAAAGGGACUGCCGGUGUUAAACCGGAGGAAGGUGGGGAUGACGUCAAGUCCUCAUGGCCUUUAUGACCAGGGCUACACACGUACUACAAUGGCCGAUACAAAGGGCAGCGACACUGCGAGGUGAAGCCAAUCCCGUAAAAUCGGUCUCAGUCCGGAUUGGAGUCUGCAACUCGACUCCAUGAAGUUGGAAUCGCUAGUAAUCGUGGAUCAGCAUGCCACGGUGAAUACGUUCCCGGGCCUU